GACGAACCGUGCGAACGUUGUUCGGAAUCACUGGGCUUAAAGGGCGCGUAGGCGGGCGGCCAAGUCAGGGGUGAAAUCUUUCGGCUCAACCGGAAAAUGGCUUCUGAUACUGGUCGUCUUGAGUGAGGUAGGGGCAUGUGGAACUUCCGGUGGAGCGGUGAAAUGCGUAGAUAUCAUUUGGAACGCCCACGGUGAAAACAGCUGGCUGGGGAAGUGCUGACGCUGAGGCACGAAAGCCAGGGGAGCGAACGGG
rnacentral:rRNA from 1 species